rnacentral:rRNA from 1 species
GUCUAUGGCCAUGCCACCUUGAACAAGCCCGAUCCCGUCUGAUCUCGGAAGCUAAGCAGGGUCGGGCCUGGUUAGUACUUGGAUGGGAGACUGCUAGGAAGACCAGGUGCUGUAGGUG